AUUGAACGCUGGCGGCAGGCCUAACACAUGCAAGUCGAACGGUAGCACAGAGAGCUUGCUCUCGGGUGACGAGUGGCGGACGGGUGAGUAAUGUCUGGGAAACUGCCCGAUGGAGGGGGAUAACUACUGGAAACGGUAGCUAAUACCGCAUAACGUCGCAAGACCAAAGUGGGGGACCUUCGGGCCUCACACCAUCGGAUGUGCCCAGAUGGGAUUAGCUAGUAGGUGGGGUAAUGGCUCACCUAGGCGACGAUCCCUAGCUGGUCUGAGAGGAUGACCAGCCAAACUGGAACUGAGACACGGUCCAGACUCCUACGGGAGGCAGCAGUGGGGAAUAUUGCACAAUGGGCGCAAGCCUGAUGCAGCCAUGCCGCGUGUAUGAAGAAGGCCUUCGGGUUGUAGAGUACUUUCAGCGGGGAGGAAGGCGGUGAAGUUAAUAACUUCACCGAUUGACGUUACCCGCAGAAGAAGCACCGGCUAACUCCGUGCCAGCCGCCGCCGUAA
rnacentral:rRNA from 1 species